rnacentral:rRNA from 1 species
CUGGUUGAUCCUGCCAGACCCGACUGCUAUCGGAUUGGGACUAAGCCAUGCGAGUCAACUCCGCAAGGGGUGGCGCACGGCUCAGUAACGCGUAGUCAACCUACCCUGGGGACGGGGAUAACCUCGGGAAACUGAGGCUAAACCCCGAUGGGCCAUGGCUCCUGGAAUGGGCUAUGGCUGAAAUCUACAUGGCCCCAGGAUGGGACUGCGGCCGAUCAGGUUGUUGGUGGGGUAAUGGCCCACCAAGCCUAUAACCGGUGCGGGCUCUGAGAGGAGGAGCCCGGAGAUAGGCACUGAGACAAGGGCCCAGGUCCUAUGGGGCGCAGCAGGCGCGAAACCUCCGCAAUGGGCGAAAGCCCGACGGGGUCAGUCCGAGUGGUUCCCGCUGAGGGAACCUUUUGCCAGCUGUAAACAGGCUGGCGAAUAAGGGGUGGGCAAGUUUGGUGUCGGCCGCCGCGGUAAUACCAGCACCCCGAGUGGUCGGGACGAUUAUUGGGCCUAAAGCAUCCGUAGCCGGCCCAGUAAGUCCUCCGUUAAAUCCAACGGCUCAACCGUUGGGCUGCGGGGGAUACUGCUGGGCUAGGGGACGGGAGAGGCGAGGGGUAUUCCCGGGGUAGGGGUAAAAUCCACUGAUCCCGGGAGGACCACCAGUGGCGAAGGCGCCUCGCUAGAACGUGCCCGACGGUGAGGGAUGAAAGCUGGGGGAGCGAACCGGAUUAGAUACCCGGGUAGUCCCAGCCGUAAACGAUGUAGGCUCGGUGUUGGGCUGCCUCAGUGGCAGCCCAGUGCCGCAGGGAAGCCGUUAAGCCUACCGCCUGGGGAGUACGGCCGCAAGGCUGAAACUUAAAGGAAUUGGCGGGGGAGCACCAC